CUCUUCAAUAGAAUGUUCAUCUCUCCUUCCUUCUCCAUCUUCAGUGAGCCUCUCCAUGGAAGACAAAAUGCAAAACUUUUGCACUGCGUUGGGAUUUUUAUGCAUUGAAAACAUGUGUCGUCAAGUAUGAUUAGAGGAGAAAUCUCGGGCAAACAUCGACGUACUGAGGUGUAUUUCUCAUAAAAUGUUAAACACUCGAUGCGAUAUGUGGACCGUCAAGGGCCAAGCGCUGAAACGUAUGGUGUAUCGAACCACAUGGUUAUGAUGAACUUGAUGGAUUAUCGGACAAUUAACUCGUUCGAAAAGGGGUUUCACAAAAUGGAAUAGAAGAUUUUACAUUUGCUAAAAAAGGCUUAGAUAUCAACUUCAAAGAAAGACAGCUCAUGAAAUGUAGUAGAGAUUCAGCGCAAGAACAAAGCGAAGCUGCCUGACUUCCAAAGAAAAUGCUUCAUUUUGGAGUUUACAUUGCCA